rnacentral:rRNA from 1 species
GGGGAAUAUUGCGCAAUGGGGGGAACCCUGACGCAGCAACGCCGCGUGAAGGAAGAAGGCCUUCGGGUUGUAAACUUCUUUGAUUGGGGACGAAUAAUGACGGUACCCAAAAAACAAGCCACGGCUAACUACGUGCCAGCAGCCGCGGUAAUACGUAGGUGGCGAGCGUUGUCCGGAAUUACUGGGUGUAAAGGGCGUGUAGGCGGGGGAGCAAGUCAGAUGUGAAAUCCCGGGGCUCAACUCCGGAGUUGCAUCUGAAACUGUUUUUCUUGAGUGCUGGAGAGGAAAGCGGAAUUCCUAGUGUAGCGGUGAAAUGCGUAGAUAUUAGGAGGAACACCAGUGGCGAAGGCGGCUUUCUGGAUAGUAACUGACGCUGAGGCGCGAAAGCGUGGGGAGCAAAC